GAUGAACGCUGGCGGCGUGCCUAAUACAUGCAAGUCGAGCGCUGGAACUCUAGCUUGCUAGAUUGAAGGAGUGGCGAACGGGUGAGUAAUACAUAAGCAACCUACCCACGAAGACUGGGAUAAUCUCUGGAAACGGGGACUAAUACCGGAUAGGUAAUCGGAAGGCAUCUUCUGAUUAUUAAAGGUUAAAAACACUGGUGGAUGGGCUUAUGGCGCAUUAGUUAGUUGGUGAGGUAACGGCCCACCAAGACGAUGAUGCGUAGCCGGCCUGAGAGGGUGAACGGCCACAUUGGGACUGAGACACGGCCCAGACUCCUACGGGAGGCAGCAGUAGGGAAGUUUCGGCAAUGGGGGAAACCCUGACCGAGCAACGCCGCGUGAGUGAUGACGGCCUUCGGGUUGUAAAGCUCUGUUGUAAGGGAAGAACGGUAGAUAGAGAAUAUCUAAAUGACGGUACCUUACCAGAAAGCCACGGCUAACUACGUG
rnacentral:rRNA from 1 species